rnacentral:rRNA from 1 species
GUGGGGAAUAUUGGACAAUGGGCGCAAGCCUGAUCCAGCCAUACCGCGUGGGUGAAGAAGGCCUUCGGGUUGUAAAGCCCUUUUGUUGGGAAAGAAAUCCAUCUGGUUAAUACCCGGGUGGGAUGACGGUACCCAAAGAAUAAGCACCGGCUAACUUCGUGCCAGCAGCCGCGGUAAUACGAAGGGUGCAAGCGUUACUCGGAAUUACUGGGCGUAAAGCGUGCGUAGGUGGUCGUUUAAGUCCGUUGUGAAAGCCCUGGGCUCAACCUGGGAACUGCAGUGGAUACUGGGCGACUAGAAUGUGGUAGAGGGUAGCGGAAUUCCUGGUGUAGCAGUGAAAUGCGUAGAGAUCAGGAGGAACAUCCAUGGCGAAGGCAGCUACCUGGACCAACAUUGACACUGAGGCACGAAAGCGUGGGGAGCAA